rnacentral:misc_RNA from 1 species
UGUUGCCCACUUUUGAAAGUCACCAAAUGUGGUAUACAUGAAUUGUUUAUUAUAAUGAUCAAACAAUACCUGUUUGGAGUGAAGGUUUUGUUUAUAUUUAGCGAUACCAUUAUUUUAUUUGAGAGAAUCUGUAAGACUUUGGUUUCGUAUUAAUUAGUAAUUAGUUUAAACACGUAAUUGAUGGAUAUCAGAUUGUGUGCAAUUAAUAAUAAAAGUCAUUGGUGGUAUUUCACCGACUUUGAUGGCAGAGUAGCAGGACCUUGGAGGGGGUUAGGAAGGAGGGGUAUAGCAGGGCAUUCUGCCCUGUCUUCCUUGUUGAGAGCUCAAGGGGUUUUGUAGUUAUUUAUUUAUUUUGCUUAGUGUUGUAAAUUUUAAUAUUCUGUUAUUUGAGAAAGCCCAAGGACAAUUUUAGUUGAACUUCUUAAUAAGAUACUAGGCUUAUGACUGUAGAACUGCUUUGUUUUACGCCUUUGUAAAGCAAAAGCAAUUUGACAAGGUGCGGCAUCUCCUUCUUGCUUUUUAAUUAUUUUAAGUUCAGUGCUGUAUUGGAAUAUUAACAAUAUAUAAUGGUGUUAUGCAGCUUAUAAAGCUAAAUCUACAA